rnacentral:rRNA from 1 species
UACGUAGGUGACAAGCGUUGUCCGGAUUUACUGGGUGUAAAGGGCGUGCAGCCGGGCUGACAAGUCAGAUGUGAAAUCCCGCGGCUCAACCGCGGAACUGCAUUUGAAACUGUCAGUCUUGAGUACCGGAGAGGUCAUCGGAAUUCCUUGUGUAGCGGUGAAAUGCGUAGAUAUAAGGAAGAACACCAGUGGCGAAGGCGGAUGACUGGACGGCAACUGACGGUGAGGCGCGAAAGCGUGGGGAGCAAACAGG